UGAAACAGGGCCAGGGAGAGGUCAAAGAUCUGGGGUCUCAUUUGCAUAGACAGGCCCUCCCUCUCUCAGAGGAUGAAGAAGGAAAGGGAGAGAUGAGGGGAGGCUCUGCUCAGCUGUGAGGCACAGAAGUCAGGACCAGGGAUGACCUCCACCAUGGCCUGGUCCCCUCUCCUCCUCACCCUCCUCGCUCACUGCACAGGGUCCUGGGCCCAGUCUGUGCUGACUCAGCCGACCUCCGUGUCUGGGGCCCUGGGCCAGAAGGUCACCAUCUCCUGCACUGGAAGCAGCUCCAAUAUCGGGGGUGGUAAUUAUGUGAGCUGGCACCAACAGCUCCCAGGAACCGCCCCCAGAACGGUCAUCUAUGGUAAUAACAACCGACCAUCGGGGAUCCCGGAUCGAUUCUCUGGCUCCAAGUCUGGCAGCUCAGCCACCCUGACCAUCACUGGGCUCCAGGCUGAGGACGAGGCGAAUUAUUACUGCUCAUCGUGGGAUGACAGAUUCAGAAGUCAUACAGUGCUCCAGGCCUGAGGUGAAGUGAGGCGAAAA